GACGAACGCUGGCGGCGUGCCUAAUACAUGCAAGUGGAACGCACAGUUUAUACCGUAGCUUGCUACACCAUAGACUGUGAGUUGCGAACGGGUGAGUAACGCGUAGGUAACCUGCCUGGUAGCGGGGGAUAACUAUUGGAAACGAUAGCUAAUACCGCAUAAUAUUGAUUAUUGCAUGAUAAUUGAUUGAAAGAUGCUAUUGCAUCACUACCAGAUGGACCUGCGUUGUAUUAGCUAGUAGGUGAGGUAACGGCUCACCUAGGCGACGAUACAUAGCCGACCUGAGAGGGUGAUCGGCCACACUGGGACUGAGGCACGGCCCAGACUCCUACGGGAGGCAGCAGUAGGGAAUCUUCGGCAAUGGACGAAAGUCUGACCGAGCAACGCCGCGUGAGUGAAGAAGGUUGUCGGAUCGUAAAGCUCUGUUGUAAGAGAAGAACGGGUGUGAGAGUGGAAAGUUCACACUGUGACGGUAUCUUACCAGAAAGGGACGGCUAACUACGUG
rnacentral:rRNA from 1 species